AGUAGUUUCACCAUCGGUAUGUUAAUUGUUCUCUGUAUUUGACACCAAUUCGAAAAAAAUCCAAAAGUGGAUGGUGUUUAUCACACUCGAUUUUUGCUUAGAACUCAUUUGGGUUCGGAAUCGUCAUAGGUAUUUGAUACCCGAGUUUUUGUCUAUGUUCCUUUUCGACGAUUACAGUGGAGGCAGGUGUAAAACUGAAAGUGAGUAGGUACUGGUUAGUGCUCUGUUGUCUGCCGACCAAUAAUAUUCACCUCGAGGAUGAAACUCCUCUCAUUGCAUUUGUUUUUCAUCGCGGCCAUCAUUCCACAAUUUAUCUUUGCAGAGCAAAAGUACAAUGUUUCAGCGAAAGAGAAUCCCGAGGAACAUGCGAUCGUCUGGAGCCAGACAUCAAUGGCGACCCCGCCCGUUGGAGUCCAGCUACCGCUCCUAGCACCCGCUCACACACCGGCAGCUGACACACCUGCAACUGACACACCGGCAACUGACACACCGGCAACUGACACACCUGCAACUGACACACCGUCAACUGACACACCUGCAACUGACACACCGGCAGCGGUUGUGAGCCAGAACCUGGAGACUCGGACAUCGAAGAAGGCAAAGCAACGGAGCAUUAAAAUAAGCAGGAUCUUGGCACCGAGUUUCCGGAGAUCCUUCAGAUUGUGGUCAGCCUCCAAGUCCUCGAAAUCCUCGAACUCGGGCUCCGGAAGGAAGGACUACUUCGAGACGAGAAGCCACGGGAGCAAUUCACCGAUGAGCGCGGGGCAACGCGCCCGAGCCGUCAGAACGGCCGCCGCGGACCGACACGCGGACGCCCUCGCUGCAGACUUCCAAGCCGUCGGCAUCCACACCGGGCAUCGCCGCAGGAGCAACGAUGACCAAGUCGUCCCGGAGUUGGACAAACAUGACCCCAAUGAUGACCUCCUCGUCCCGUGAAAAUUUCAAAAAUCCGUCCUCUCCUUCACGAAAGAGCGUGCACUGAAAAAAAAAAUCUCGGUGUUUUUACCAAGAAAAGGGUAAAAUUGCUAAGAAUUCAGGGUUCUAUUUGAUCCCUGUUUUUUCUAGGUAAAAUUAUCAUUUAUGGCAUUGGUAAUUUUACCGAGAAAUCUCGGUAAAAUUAUUGAACUUACGGCAAAGUUA
rnacentral:lncRNA from 1 species